UUGGACGAGGGGUCCCCACAGGAUUACCGAAUUCAGUCAAACUCCGAAUGCCAAUGACUUUAACUCGGGAGUCAGACUGCGAGUGCUAAGAUCCGUAGUCAAGAGGGAAACAGCCCAGACCAUCAGCUAAGGUCCCCAAGUAUACGUUAAGUGGAAAAGGAUGUGGAGUUGCCCAGACAACCAGGAUGUUGGCUUAGAAGCAGCCAUCAUUGAAAGAGUGCGUAAUAGCUCACUGGUCGAGUGACUCUGCGCCGAAAAUGUACCGGGGCUAAACGUAUCACCGAAGCUAUGGCAAUCCCGUAUGGGAUUGGGUAGGGGAGCGUUCCAAGGACAGCGAAGCCAGAUCGUGAGGACUGGUGGAGUGCUUGGAAGUGAGAAUGCCGGUAUGAGUAGCGAAAAGAUAGGUGAGAAUCCUAUCCG
rnacentral:rRNA from 2 species